CCUACGGGAGGCAGCAGUGGGGAAUAUUGCACAAUGGGGGAAACCCUGAUGCAGCGACGCCGCGUGAGUGAAGAAGUAUUUCGGUAUGUAAAGCUCUAUCAGCAGGGAAGAAAAAAGACGGUACCUGACUAAGAAGCCCCGGCUAACUACGUGCCAGCAGCCGCGGUAAUACGUAGGGGGCAAGCGUUAUCCGGAUUUACUGGGUGUAAAGGGAGCGUAGACGGCGCGGCAAGUCUGAAGGGAAAGGGAGGGGCUUAAACCCUGAACUGCCUUGGAAACCGCCAUGCUAGAGUGCUGGAGAGGUAAGUGGAAUGCGUAGGGUAGCGGUGAAAUGCGUAGAUAUUAGGAGGAACCCCGGUGGCGAAGGGGGCUUACUGGACAGUAACUGACGUUGAGGCUCGAAAGCGUGGGGAGCAAACAGGAUUAGAUACCCUGGUAGUC
rnacentral:rRNA from 1 species